rnacentral:rRNA from 1 species
CAGGCUUAACACAUGCAAGUCGAGGGGCAUCAGGAAGAAAGCUUGCUUUCUUUGCUGGCGACCGGCGCACGGGUGAGUAACACGUAUCCAACCUGCCCUUUACUCGGGGAUAGCCUUUCGAAAGAAAGAUUAAUACCCGAUAGCAUAAUGAUUCCGCAUGGUUUCAUUAUUAAAGGAUUCCGGUAAAGGAUGGGGAUGCGUUCCAUUAGGUUGUUGGUGGGGUAACGGCCCACCAAGCCUUCGAUGGAUAGGGGUUCUGAGAGGAAGGUCCCCCACAUUGGAACUGAGACACGGUCCAAACUCCUACGGGAGGCAGCAGUGAGGAAUAUUGGUCAAUGGGCGCUAGCCUGAACCAGCCAAGUAGCGUGAAGGAUGAAGGCUCUAUGGGUCGUAAACUUCUUUUAUAUAAGAAUAAAGUGCAGUAUGUAUACUGUUUUGUAUGUAUUAUAUGAAUAAGGAUCGGCUAACUCCGUGCCAGCAGCCGCGGUAAUACGGAGGAUCCGAGCGUUAUCCGGAUUUAUUGGGUUUAAAGGGAGCGUAGGUGGACUGGUAAGUCAGUUGUGAAAGUUUGCGGCUCAACCGUAAAAUUGCAGUUGAUACUGUCAGUCUUGAGUACAGUAGAGGUGGGCGGAAUUCGUGGUGUAGCGGUGAAAUGCUUAGAUAUCACGAAGAACUCCGAUUGCGAAGGCAGCUCACUGGACUGCAACUGACACUGAUGCUCGAAAGUGUGGGUAUCAAACAGGAUUAGAUACCCUGGUAGUCCACACAGUAAACGAUGAAUACUCGCUGUUUGCGAUAUACAGUAAGCGGCCAAGCGAAAGCAUUAAGUAUUCCACCUGGGGAGUACGCCGGCAACGGUGAAACUCAAAGGAAUUGACGGGGGCCCGCACAAGCGGAGGAACAUGUGGUUUAAUUCGAUGAUACGCGAGGAACCUUACCCGGGCUUAAAUUGCAGUGGAAUGAUGUGGAAACAUGUCAGUGAGCAAUCACCGCUGUGAAGGUGCUGCAUGGUUGUCGUCAGCUCGUGCCGUGAGGUGUCGGCUUAAGUGCCAUAACGAGCGCAACCCUUAUCUUUAGUUACUAACAGGUUAUGCUGAGGACUCUAGAGAGACUGCCGUCGUAAGAUGUGAGGAAGGUGGGGAUGACGUCAAAUCAGCACGGCCCUUACGUCCGGGGCUACACACGUGUUACAAUGGGGGGUACAGAAGGCAGCUAGCGGGUGACCGUAUGCUAAUCCCAAAAUCCUCUCUCAGUUCGGAUCGAAGUCUGCAACCCGACUUCGUGAAGCUGGAUUCGCUAGUAAUCGCGCAUCAGCCACGGCGCGGUGAAUACGUUCCCGGGCCUUGUACACACCGCCCGUCAAGCCAUGGGAGCCGGGGGUACCUGAAGUACGUAACCGCAAGGAUCGUCCUAGGGUAAAACUGGUGACUGGGGCUC